UAAUUUUGAAUUUCUCUGCAUAACCCUGCUUUGAACUUUAUGUCCUAAUAAAAAUUCGACAUAUUUAAUUACUUUUGCAAUGGGAGCAGUUAUAGAAAAGAGUGCUACUUUUACAAGCCAUUCUGAGAAGAAAAUUGAAAGUGACUCAAAACUGCUUCCUUCAUAUUCAAAGGAGAUUCGAAUAAGAGAUGAUGAACUUUUCGACUACAGCCAAAUCUACGCACUUUCACGGAAGAUGCUACAUUCCAUAACUAAUUGUCCAAGGGAAUGCCUACUGGAAAACCUUAACCAAUGUCUUCGAAUGCAGUCCAAAUCAAUGUUGAGGAGCUUUAAUGAAGCGAAUGAAUGCUGGUACGGAAUUAUGGAUUUGGUAACUGACCGUUUGAAUUGCUCGGCAGAAAAUGCGAGCAUGGCUAGCUAUCACGUCCCCAGUUCUAAUUAUGAAAAUGUGAACAUUUACAUAAGUUCAAACGGCUCGAGUGGCUGUAAUGAAACCAAACAGCAACUCCAUCCCAACGCUGGCCAACACAACCACAAAGCUGACAACGUCGAUGACGAUGUUCAUAUUGGCGUUGAUUUUAUGUAACAAUGAAUCCGAUAGAUUCAUUUGCUCACAACAACCUAAUUCGCACUGGAAGGAACAAGAAUCUCUCAGAUACCAUUAAAUAAAUCAUAACGGUUGUUUAUGCUAAUGAAAUGCCUA